rnacentral:rRNA from 1 species
CCUACGGGUGGCAGCAGUGAGGAAUAUUGGUCAAUGGACGAGAGUCUGAACCAGCCAAGUAGCGUGAAGGAUGACUGCCCUAUGGGUUGUAAACUUCUUUUAUAUGGGAAUAAAAUGUUCCACGUGUGGGAUUUUGUAUGUACCAUAUGAAUAAGGAUCGGCUAACUCCGUGCCAGCAGCCGCGGUAAUACGGAGGAUCCGAGCGUUAUCCGGAUUUAUUGGGUUUAAAGGGAGCGUAGGUGGAUUGUUAAGUCAGUUGUGAAAGUUUGCGGCGCAACCGUAAAAUUGCAGUUGAAACUGGGAGUCUUGAGUACAGUAGAGGUAGGCGGAAUGCGUGGUGUAGCGGUGAAAUGCUUAGAUAGCACGAAGAACUCCGAUUGCGAAGGCAGGUCACUGGACUGCAACUGACACUGAGGCUCGAAAGUGUGGGUAUCAAACAGGAUUAGAUACCCCAGUAGUC